rnacentral:tRNA from 1 species
CUAGACAGGCGGGCCUCGAUCCCGCAAAAAAUUAAUUAACAGCUAAACACCCAAUCCAGCGGGCUUCUGUCUG